rnacentral:rRNA from 1 species
GUGGGGAAUAUUGGGCAAUGGUCGGAAGACUGACCCAGCCAUGCCGCGUGCAGGAAGACGGCCCUCUGGGUUGUAAACUGCUUUUAUCUGGGAAGAAAAAGGCCAUGCGUGGCAAAUUGCCGGUACCAGAUGAAUAAGCACCGGCUAACUCCGUGCCAGCAGCCGCGGUAAUACGGAGGGUGCGAGCGUUGUCCGGAUUUAUUGGGUUUAAAGGGUGCGUAGGCGGCUGAUUAAGUCAGCGGUGAAAGACUUCGGCUUAACCGGAGCAGUGCCGUUGAUACUGGUUGGCUUGAGUGUCGGAGGGGUACAUGGAAUUGAUGGUGUAGCGGUGAAAUGCAUAGAUACCAUCAGGAACACCGAUAGCGAAGGCAUUGUACUGGCCGACAACUGACGCUGAUGCACGAAAGUGUGGGGAUCGAACAGGAUUAGAAACCCUUGUAGUCC